rfam:Euryarchaeota archaeon RBG_16_67_27 RBG_16_scaffold_9868, whole genome shotgun sequence.
GGGCCCGUAGCUUAGCCUGGUUGGAGCGCCCGGCUGAUAACCGGGAGGUCGCCAGUCCAAAUCUGGCCGGGCCCA